UGCGUAGGCGGGCUAAUAAGUCAGUGGUGAAAUCUUCCGGCUCAACCGGGAAACUGCCAUUGAUACUGUUAGUCUUGAGUUCGGCUGAGGUAGGCGGAAUGUGUAAUGUAGCGGUGAAAUGCUUAGAUAUUACACUGAACACCAAUUGCGUAGGCAGCUUACUAGACCGACACUGACGCUGAGGCACGAAAGCGUGGGGAGCGAACAGGAUUAGAUACCCUGGUAGUCC
rnacentral:rRNA from 1 species